AAUCAACGCUGGCGGCGUGCCUAACACAUGCAAGUCGAACGCGAAAAGGGCUUCGGCUCUUAGUAGAGUGGCGAACGGGUGAGUAACACGUGGGUGACCUACCUUCGAAUGGGGGAUAACGUCCCGAAAGGGACGCUAAUACCGCAUAACAUCCUGCUUUUGAACAGGUGGAGAUCAAAGCCGGGGAUCGCAAGACCUGGCGUUUGAAGAGGGGCCCGCGUCUGAUUAGCUAGUUGGUGAGGUAACGGCCCACCAAGGCGACGAUCAGUAUCCGGCCUGAGAGGGCGGACGGACACACUGGGACUGAGACACGGCCCAGACUCCUACGGGAGGCAGCAGUGGGGAAUUGUUCGCAAUGGGCGCAAGCCUGACGACGCAACGCCGCGUGGAGGAUGAAGGUCUUCGGAUUGUAAACUCCUGUUGCUCGGGACGAAAAGCUUCGACCUAACACGUCGAAGUCUGACGGUACCGGGUGAGGAAGCCCCGGCUAACUCUGUGC
rnacentral:rRNA from 1 species